UACGAGGGGGGCGAGCGUUGUUCGGAAUUAUUGGGCGUAAAGGGCGCGUAGGCGGUGCGGUAAGUCACCUGUGGAACCUCCGGGCUUAACUCGGAGCCUGCAGGCGAAACUGCAGUGCUAGAGUGUGGGAGAGGUGAGUGGAAUUCCCGGUGUAGCGGUGCAAUGCGUAGAUAUCGGGAGGAACACCUGUGGCGAAAGCGGCUCACUGGACCACAACUGACGCUGAGGCGCGAAAGCUAGGGGAGCAAACAGG
rnacentral:rRNA from 1 species